rnacentral:rRNA from 1 species
UAAGGAAUAUUGGGCAAUGGAGGCAACUCUGACCCAGCCAUGCCGCGUGGAGGAUGAAGGCCCUCUGGGUUGUAAACUUCUUUUACGGGGGACGAAACCCUCUCAUUCCUGAGAGGUUGACGGUACCCUGGGAAUAAGCACCGGCUAACUCCGUGCCAGCAGCCGCGGUAAUACGGAGGGUGCAAGCGUUAUCCGGAUUCACUGGGUUUAAAGGGUGCGUAGGCGGGCAGGUAAGUCCGUGGUGAAAUCUCCGAGCUUAACUCGGAAACUGCCGUGGAUACUAUCUGUCUUGAAUACUGUGGAGGUGAGCGGAAUAUGUCAUGUAGCGGUGAAAUGCUUAGAUAUGACAUAGAACACCAAUUGCGAAGGCAGCUCACUGCGCAGUCAUUGACGCUGAGGCACGAAAGCGUGGGGAUCAAACAGG